rnacentral:rRNA from 1 species
AGAGUUUGAUCCUGGCUCAGGAUGAACGCUGACAGAAUGCUUAACACAUGCAAGUCUACUUGAUCCUUCGGGUGAUGGUGGCGGACGGGUGAGUAACGCGUAAAGAACUUGCCCUGCAGUCUGGGACAACAUUUGGAAACGAAUGCUAAUACCGGAUAUUAUGUGAGUUUCGCAUGAAAUUCAUAUGAAAGCUAUAUGCGCUGCAGGAGAGCUUUGCGUCCUAUUAGCUAGUUGGUGAGGUAACGGCUCACCAAGGCGAUGAUAGGUAGCCGGCCUGAGAGGGUGAACGGCCACAAGGGGACUGAGACACGGCCCUUACUCCUACGGGAGGCAGCAGUGGGGAAUAUUGGACAAUGGACCAAAAGUCUGAUCCAGCAAUUCUGUGUGCACGAUGAAGUUUUUCGGAAUGUAAAGUGCUUUCAGUUGGGACGAAGUAAGUGACGGUACCAACAGAAGAAGCGACGGCUAAAUACGUGCCAGCAGCCGCGGUAAUACGUAUGUCGCAAGCGUUAUCCGGAUUUAUUGGGCGUAAAGCGCGUCUAGGCGGUUUGGUAAGUCUGAUGUGAAAAUGCGGGGCUCAACUCCGUAUUGCGUUGGAAACUGCCAAACUAGAGUACUGGAGAGGUGGGCGGAACUACAAGUGUAGAGGUGAAAUUCGUAGAUAUUUGUAGGAAUGCCGAUGGGGAAGCCAGCCCACUGGACAGAUACUGACGCUAAAGCGCGAAAGCGUGGGUAGCAAACAGGAUUAGAUACCCUGGUAGUCCACGCCGUAAACGAUGAUUACUAGGUGUUGGUGGGUAUGACCCAUCGGUGCCGCAGCAAACGCAAUAAGUAAUCCACCUGGGGAGUACGUUCGCAAGAAUGAAACUCAAAGGAAUUGACGGGGACCCGCACAAGCGGUGGAGCAUGUGGUUUAAUUCGACGCAACGCGAGGAACCUUACCAGCGUUUGACAUCUUAGGAAUGAGACAGAGAUGUUUCAGUGUCCCUUCGGGGAAACCUAAAGACAGGUGGUGCAUGGCUGUCGUCAGCUCGUGUCGUGAGAUGUUGGGUUAAGUCCC